GCCCAAACACAGGCUGAACUCCAAGACGCCUUAAGCGAGGAGCGCCUUAAGGUGCUGGAGUUGCGAAAGAGAGUGACGCUGUGAUGAAGUGGAAGACGGGACUGGGAGAGAAAGCUGUGGAGCUCCUCAUAGAGGAGACACUCAAACACACCCCGGCAGCCCAUUCAAAACAAGCCAGGGCCAACAGACAGGACCUGUAGCGGGGACUGGCAGAAGAUUUUAAUUCACUGUUUGGCACUUUGUUUGAAAUAAAAUGACAAUGUUACAUGGAAA